rnacentral:lncRNA from 1 species
CAUGAUGCCUAGUACCACACAGGUUGUUCAAACCACACAGGUUUCUGGGGAGAAACUCAGAAAGCCCAGCCUCGCCCCACCCAUCAGCAGAAGCAGACAUGCGCUUAGAUUUCUAGUGGGGGGUGAUAAGCCGCCUUACAGCAUUCUCACAAGAAGAACACUGCCUGGGAUUUGGGUCUGUGUCCAUGAACAGAAGGGUCAAACCCAGAAUCACUGCAUGUGAGAGUGGGAAGAAACUUCAGCCAUCACCCAACCCAGGGGUUUUCAGACCAGUUCUACAAAGGUCGAGGGCUGUGUGUGGCUGUCAGGAGGCAGGAGCCCCAAAAUCUGCUAAGAAAAGCAAGUGGCUAUGCUGAGUGAGCUAACUCCAAACUCCUGUUUCUACCAGAACAGCCCUCAUUGAAUCCAUUUAAAUAUCGAGGAUGCAAAAACAGCCUAGUUUUUUUAAAAAAAAUUAGAUCACAGAUCCAACCAAUGCUCUUACUCUAUACUUCUAUGAGGAGAAGGGCUUUCCCAGGAUCCCCAAGGGUGACUGAGAGAGCUAGGUUAGAACUCGGUCCCCUCAUCUCAAGGUCAAGAUAUGCUCCACACUCCCACCCGCUUUUCCAGAUGCCUUUGAAUCUCCCACUUCCCAAAGUUUUUAAGGGCCCAUUAUAGUGACUCUCCAAGGUCCAUGAGCCUCCUACCCCAAAUCAUCAUCAAGUGGGAGUAUACUAAAAAUGUUGGAGUUCCUGUCGUGGCUCAUGCUUAGUAGAUGUAAAGUUUAACCCUUACAACAACCCUCUGAGGUGAGUACAAUGACCCUCUUCCUCCAGCAGUAAACUUGUAUCAGGUCAUAAGCUCAGAAGCCACAGGGACAGCAUUCAAACCCAGGCAAGUCUGCCUCAGCCAGAGCUUUCAUCCCUAACCAUCCUACCACACUGCCUCAUGUUUUCAUGCUGGUUUACAUCUCAUGUUCAGGCUCAUAACAGCGCCCAAGUAUAAAAAGGGAGGAAGCUUAAAAGAGGACAACAAACCUGCUCCGUUAGGAAACUUGCUGAAGGAACAUACUCAGCGAGUGAUCCUUCUGAGAACCCAGGUCUCCUGGACCAACCCUCCUCACCCCCACCCCCACCCCUGCCAUGCUUGUAAUUAAGUCUUACAGCCAAUAACAGAAUGUCUCCCAGAGGUGGCAUGGCUGGUACCAAAGAUCCAUAGUUAUGGGCCAUCAGCAGGGACCAGCAAACAUAUUGGACAUGAAAUCAAAGCCAAUAAGCAGGAUCCAGGGAAGAGGAGGUGACAGGUCCCAGGGAGCAAAUGCUGAUGAAUCCAUUCCCUCUGGUGGAAGGCGUGAGGCUGCAGUGCUUAGCCCAGGGCUGUGCUCUCUAAGUACCCAAUGCAGGAUGGGGUUUCAGUGUGUGUGUGGGGGGGGGGGGGGUUUCAGUGUGUGUGUGUGUGUGUGUGUGUGUGUGUGUGUGUCUUUCUCCUUUUCAAGGACUGAGGACAACAGAGUAAAUUAGCACAAAGAACCAAACCCAGGGCUUCUUGCUCCUUUAUUCUCUCUUUACUAGACACGUCCCCUGCAGCACCCAGCAGGCCCCAGCAGGGGAUCAUCACUCCCUGGCCUGGGAAAUCCCAGCCAUCUGGCUUCUGCCCCAGCACGUCCCCAGCCUCUGCAGACAAACAGCCGCAUGCAAGGAGGUUGGGUGCCACCAUCUGCACAGAGCCUUAAUGAGAGGCCUGUGGUUUCUUGGUGUCUUGGUCAAGCUGUUUGCCAGUCCUAGCAAGUGAGAACUUUUGGCCUAACCUAACAUAGGCCUUCGGCCCCUGCACAGUCUAAAUAAAUCACCUUGGACUCCUCUCAUCUGCUCUCUAAUGAAUGGCUUCCUUGGUCAGGGAAACACUUUUUAAAAAUACUGGCAGCAGAAAAAGAAUGGAAUAAAUCCUGUAGGGUUUAUGGGUUUGAAAGGAAAACAGUCCUAUCUUGGUCUGCCCCUAUAUAAAACAAGACUUUUUUUUUUCCUUUUUAUGGCCACACCUAUGGUAUAUGGAAAUUCCCAGGCUAGGGACUGAAUCAGAGAUGCAUCUGCCAACCUAUGCCAUGGCCACAGUAUCACCAGAUCCAAUUGCAUCUGCAAUCUAUGCCACAUCUCACGGCAACGCCAGAUCCUUAACCCACUGAGUGAGGCCAGGGAUCGAAUCACCGAACCCGAAACCUCAUGGAUACUAGUAGGGUUCUUAACCUGCUGAGCCAAAACAGAAACUCCUAAAACAAGAUUUUUAGACGCCCAGUCUCCUGGGGUCCCUUUGCUGAGAAAGCUAGGGAUGGAAACUCCACUCCAAGGGUCUUUGUUGAGAAGUCUGUGGGGAAUAAGGAAGGCAUUGGGAAAAGCAGAGAGGGAAGGUGAUUCUUACAUCAGUGAAAGCCCACUAACAAUUAAUGUCCUUUGUCAAUGGAAUGGGUGGGAUCCACAGGACAAGUCAAGCAGAGGCUGAAUCCGUUGGGGACUCUGUAGCAAAUCUUUUGUGGGUAGAAUUAAGUAGAGGCUUUGAAGGCCCUCCCAAAUCUUAGGUUCUAGUCCCAUGAUUCUUGGAGGGCAGCAAUUCAAACAGGAUAGAUUUUAGAAUCAGAACAAUGCAGUUCAGUCCUGGCUCUGCUCUUUAUAGGCUGGAUGACCUUGGGGGAAGUGUUCCUCAUCUGCAAAUUGUGGUUGACCCCUCCUCUACCUCUUUGGGUUAUCCCUGCGGUUGACAACAGAGGGGUGGGGGCAGGUGCACCCUUCACCCUGUGGACCUAUAGGUGCUCAGCAAAUGUUAGGUCCCUCCCUCUAAGGGAACACACAAAAUUCCAAGAUUUCCUAAUCCUAAGAUGGCUAACACUUUUAAAAGUCUGAUUCCAAAAGAAACAGGACAAACAAAACAUUGAUGUGGAAACCUCCUUUCCCGUCUCUCAAGAGCACUAAGGAAUCUUCUCCCCAAACUUUGAGAUAAUGCCCAUGUGUUGAUUUUUAUUCCAAACUUGCAAUUUGGCAACCUUCUCUAAGUCUUUUUUUUUUCCCCUCUUUUUCUUCAAGUCACUUAGGCUGAGCUGUUACUUGAG